ACAACUCCGCCCCCAGAUCUGAAACAUGGCGGACUACUUGGAGCAGUUGGUAGCACAGCUUUCACAUCAAAAUAAUACACUCACACCCAUGGACCACUCAGCAAUGCCACUGCUAAUGAAGACAACAGGUCGAAUGCUGGAAAUCCCUGGAAAUGUAUCCCCUUUUGUAGAAGGCUCCCACUAAACAUAUAGCACUAUAGCAUCUGAUUUGAUGAAGUAAAAUAAUCAGUUUGUACACACAACCACUUCCUGAAAUACAUUGCUGCAUGUUAUAAAAUCACAGUCAAGCACUUCCCAGGGAUUUUAAAGGUGCAUUUUCAAGCUUAUCUGAAUUAAGUAAAAUUUAUCUUCAUUAAAUCAGAAGCAUGAAAAUAUACAUUUAAAGUGCUUAAAUGUGAUUUAAAUUGAGACAUACAGCAAUGUUUUUUCAGGACAUAGUUGAGCUAUUACUUUUCCCCCCUCAAAGAUGUGAUGUAACAUUGGAAAAAUGCAAGUGCACACAUAUCAUUUGUUUCUAAUUGCUUUUUUAGUACUCUGUUUGAAUUGCCAUGUGCUUAUUAUGUUAAUCCCUGUGUUGUUUCUUGCACUCUAUGUAAAGAAAAUGUGCUAUACAAAUAAAUUUGCUUUGCACUGCA